UCUUCUCUAUCAUUCUUCCUUUCUAUUUCUCUUUCUUUUUUUUUUCAAUUCUUUUAUUUUUCUUCAUCCUGAUUGUGUUUGUAAGUAAAUACGGUCUAGUUGAAGUUAAAUGCUGUAAGUCGCAUCGAUCGAAAGGCUAUUGAGUAAGUCACUGUCUAUUCGUUUGUUUUUACGGUUUUUCCCUUUUGUCAUUCGUAACUUCUCUGAAUCGGGUAUUUGAAUGUAUUGUGAGAAUCUUUGAUAUACAAUGGUUUAUUUUACUAUUAGGCAGAAGUAUCGGAAGUAACAAACAGUGACACGCCAAUUCCAGUGAUCGUCGUUGAGUUGUCGGU
rnacentral:lncRNA from 1 species